rnacentral:rRNA from 1 species
CCUACGGGUGGCAGCAGUAGGGAAUCUUCCACAAUGGGCGAAAGCCUGAUGGAGCAACGCCGCGUGGGUGAAGAAGGUCUUCGGAUCGUAAAACACUGUUGUUAGAGAAGAAAGUGCGUGAGAGUAACUGUUCACGCUUCGACGGUAUCUAACCAGAAAGCACCGGCUAACUACGUGCCAGCAGCCGCGGUAAUACGUAGGUGGCAAGCGUUAUCCGGAUUUAUUGGGCGUAAAGGGAACGCAGGCGGUCUUUUAAGUCUGAUGUGAAAGCCUUCGGCUUAACCGGAGUAGUGCAUUGGAAACUGGGAGACUUGAGUGCAGAAGAGGAGAGUGGAACUCCAGGUGUAGCGGUGAAAUGCAUAGAGAUAUGGAAGAACACCAGUGGCGAAGGCGGCUCUCUGGUCUGUAACUGACGCUGAGGUUCGAAAGCGUGGGUAGCAAACAGGAUUAGAUACCCGGGUAGUC